CUAUUUUGGUCUUUUCGGAUUGUCCCAUUUCUCUCUCCUGCUUUUGCUCCUCUGAGUCCUCUCAUCCUCACUCUUCUCCUAAUAAACAUCCUCAAAUUUCUCUCUCUCCUCCAUUGAAGCGCACUCUGAGUUCUCCAUUAAAGCGCACUUUGAGUUCUCUAUUGAAGCCUACUUUGAGUUUUCUCUCCUCCAUUGAAUCAGUUUCUGAGUCAAAUUAGGGUUCUUCUUAGGUGGAUUUCAUGUAAUUUUUGGACUAUUUUUGAUGAAAGAGUAGUGAAAUUCCGACGAAUUUUUGGUUCACAUUUCUUGCUGUUCCUUCAGCUGGUCUUCAGAUCGAAACCUGUGAUAGCUCAAGCAAGGCUCACAGUGUAUUCUCAGCCCGAAAAACCCAAGUUUCUAUUCUCCCUAUUUCUUCCCAAUUUGAGAUAAUGCUUUGAUCGUUAUUUUUUGUGUGAAAAUUGUUGAGAUUCUUUAAUUUCUGCAUUUUUUUUGCUGUGUAAUUUUGUAGAUUGUGGAUUUUGGAAUUUAGAGUAAGAAGACAAUGAUGGGUCCAACAAUGGUUGGGAUGCCUGAAGAGAUGUGGGUUUUGUAAAUGUUUUACUUGUUGUUCUGAUUUUUCUGGGUUUUUGGGGUUUUAUUUUUACUGAAUUUUGAUUUUAAUUGGGGAAAUUUACUUAACAACUUGCUACUAAGGUAUCUCUUCAUUCCCAUGGUUUCCUUUAUUCAGUUUGGGGAAUUUUUCAAUUCGAUUUGAUUAAAAAUUCGAGGGUUUCCGAUUGGUAUCUGUAUAUGGGGGCUCUAAAGUGUCAAAGAUCUGGGUAUGGGUGAGAUUUUCUGUAUUUUUUGCAAUUAAAUUGAUUGUUUUGUUUUAUUUUAGUUUAAUUAAUUGAAAAUUUGGUAUAAUUUGAUUUCAUGGUUAUUGUUGUUAUUUUGUCAUUAAUUUCUUAAAUUGUUGUUAUAUUGUCGGAAGACAAGUUUGUUGUUAUAUUGUCGGAAGACAAGUUGUAGUAGAAAUAGUAUUGUUAAACGAUGCUACUGUUGAUAAAUAUGUUGUGUUGAAGAGUUAAGACUAUGGUCAAAACUCUUUUUUUGUUACUUUGUGUGAGCGGUGAGCCUGGUGUAAUUAGCUACUCUUCGGGCUCUCUCACAUGGGCAUCCCUUAAAAUAAUAUUUUGACUAUAUAAGUGUAUAAUCUUAAAGAUUACUCCUACCUUUCAAUGGUUGUCCAAUAUAUUUGUAUGUAUUAUCAACAAAGUUAUCCUAAAUCAUAUCUUUUGUUUAGCUUGAGAUACGAUGAAGAGAGGCAAGUUCUUAAUUAUGACAUCACUUUUCUUGUUCAAGCUUCUAUUUCUUAGACAUGAUAGUAUGCUACAUUCUUCUAAACCAUGUUAUAUUGUGCAGGCUGAUAUUGACAAUAGUGGAACGAUUGACUAUGGGGAAUUUAUAGUUGCUACAAUUUAUCUCAACAAGCUCGAGCGUGAAGGACAUCUUGUUGCUGCCCUUCAGUACUUUGACAAGGAUGGCAGUGGAUCUAUUACCAUUGAUGAACUCCAACAAGCCUGUUAAGAACAGGGCCUUUACCUUGAAGAUGUUAUCAGAGAAGUUGAUAAAAAUAGCAAUCUCAGCCGUGUCGGAACAGCAGCAGCUACCCAGCAAUGAGCACCCCUUGCCAGAUGCCAGUGGGCCAAAUGUCAUCAGAUGAGCUGUGUUAGGUUUUUGCAAUACAAUUGCUCUGUAACAUCACUUUUCAAAGUUGAGGAUUCAAGGACUCUGGAUGUAGCAUAUGAUAUGGACCUGAGUUUCUUGGCUGGACCAGCUAACUGAGGCUCUGAAGGUCAGUAAUUAUGAGAACCUAUGCUUCAUUUUUGUGGAAUCACUAUCUGUAGUUCGUUUACUCAAAUCAACGGCCGUGUCCUUCCCGCUCCUAAGCUUAAAUGUUGAAAAGGAAAAGAUUUUUUUCCCCCGUAAAGGGCGUUGGAAUUUCAACAAGCAAAUUUCCAACCAUAAAAAAUAGAGCGCAGGGAAUGAGGGAAGUGGUCAGCUUCUCUCCCAAUGUGAUAAUAGGAGCCUUGUCAGAAAUUUGGAAAAAUGUGCUAACAUGAAAGAUGUUGUAAGCAGGAUUAACCAAAUUAUAUUUAAGUUGAUAGAAGGAGUGGUCUUUUGUGCUUUUUGGUAAAUGGUCUAAUUGUACUUGCUGGUGCAUGAUUUCUAGGGCUUUGAGGCUCCGUAUGAUGUCUUUGGAGAAAAGCCAUCAAAUAAAAAUAGUCAUGUAUAUUAUUGUCUUUUGAGGUCAUUGAGUCAUAUAGUAUCCGAAAUUGUGUCCAAAAUCAUUAUGGGGUUGUCUUUAAUCAUGGCUAGAACCUGCUUUUGCCAAGGAUUGGUGUGCUUCAUUGUUAUUGGUUUUGCUCUUCAAGUUCACGCUGUUUGUAGUUAAUUGUUGUAAUUCAAUGACUAUUGAUUGCUGAUUGUGAUUUUAUUUUUGUGGUUUUCUCAUGUGAAUGGACACAGGAUUUAAGGGAGGUCUCAACCCCAAUUCCAGAGCAUAUAGGGGGCUGACGUUGCACAACCAUCUGUUGUUCAUGGUAUAGAUGUAGGUGCAGAGUUUAAACCUGUUGAACAUCCAGUUGAGCCUCUUGGCAAUGAUAAACCCGUCCAUUUCCCAUUGCCAGAACCGUCUAUUCUAAAUGUAGAUUUUUAUGCAUAUUUGAUAAUCCCUAGAGUUUAAUUCUCCUUUGCUUGUAGUGUUACAACCUCCCUUGUCUUGCAUGGCUCAAUAAUUCUAUUGCUUGUCACUCAUGUGUCCAACUUACUUGUUAAGAAAUUAUAACUGGUACAGUACUAUUUGCUGCUUUGGAUUACAGGUGUGAGAGAGUACUAGGUUGUGGACAAUUACAUUGAGAUAGAAGUGUCUCAUAUCUGUACCUUUUAGUCUCCAUUUCCAAGCAAAUUUGUUGAAAUUAACUUCUUUUAGAUGCAUAGUUUGGGUAUUGUUACUAUGCAUAAUAUGUACUUAGGUCAUAAAUAUAUAAAAAAAAUGAUGCAGCAUUAUUAAAGGUCAUUUGCAUCUUGAGUAGAUGAUGACCUUUGUAUUGAAUCUA